GACGUAGGGCGCGAGCGUUGUCCGGAUUUAUUGGGCGUAAAGAGCUCGUAGGCGGCUUGUCGCGUCGAAUGUGAAAUCUCAGGGCUCAACUCUGACAUUGCAUUCGAUACGGGCAGGCUAGAGUUCGGUAGGGGAGACUGGAAUUCCUGGUGUAGCGGUGAAAUGCGCAGAUAUCAGGAGGAACACCGGUGGCGAAGGCGGGACUCUGGGCCGAUACUGACGCUGAGGAGCGAAAGCGUGGGGAGCAAACAGG
rnacentral:rRNA from 1 species